CGGAAGUCCCACCUUCUAAUCCUACCUCAGCUCUCCGGCCAACCAGCUUUGAUUAACAGGGGAAAGCUUUUACACAGUGCACAAGGGAUUAUCUCUACCUGCACAAUAACUGACUAGACAGGAGCUCUACUUCUCAACUAUCUCCCUGGCUCUUUCGGGCACUGCUUUAAUUUUCUUGCUGUUUCUCCUUUAGAAGAAGACUGACUCAGAUUAAGAACACCGGAUGAAGUGAUGAUGAUGAUGACGACGACGACGACGACGAUGAUGAUGUUAGAAGACAUAUUAAUUAAGAAUACAGAGCACUCUUCCAGAGGACUAAGAGAAAGACAAUUCUGAGCUACAAGCACGCGAUUCCAUGUCACCCAGUCAAUCACCACGGAAACCUUAUGAGGGCAGUGCUGUCAGCAUUAAGUAUUUCCCAGGACUUGAGCAUCUGUUUCAAAAAACUAACUCACCAGAGGCCCAACAUUUAAAGAGUAUUUGUCAAAAGCUACAUUUUGUUUGGAAAGAAUACAAAGUUCUCUACGACUUUUAACCAACCCUCCUUCCAGGUGAGCCCUGCUCUACCUUGAGCCGCUGGACAGCUACAGGUGGCAGCGGAACCGGACCUGAGCGAGCACCCGCUGAGAAAUGCUGCUUUGGGUGGAGCUCCACAGGAAAAAAGAGAAAGCGAAGGGUAAUUCUGAGUAGUGGGAUGCCGAAGGAGCUUGCUCCCUGCCAGAGUGAGACACGCUGAUGCUGGGACACAGAAUGAUGCUGAUCAUGAGCUUGCAGAGUGCCCCGACCAUGAUGACAAAGAAGCUGUGCUGGUCCUUGAUUCUGCCCCUUUACAUUCAGCACUAUGGGAAGGCCCAGAAGUUGUGGUAAUGGUAAACAACACUAAGUCAAUGGAUAUGCCCGAUGGGGGAAAUUUCACUAUUAGUAGAGAAAUUAUUUGCCAAGGAUUGGGAACUGGCAUCUCCAUAUGCUUUUCAAAUCGGAACGCUACUGGAUGUCUGAGAGUAUCUCGUACUACAUUGCAGAGAAAAGAUCUCGAUACACACCAAGAUUGGUAAAUAGCAUUCGAGUAACUCUACCCACUGGCCUAGCGGCUGAGGGAUACCAGGCACUGCAGCGGUUCCCGAAUUGUGGGGUGAGGGAAUGCACAAAUAUCACAAUUCCCUGGAAAAGACGGGGGGGGGAAUAAGCCUGUGCUUCAUCAGCCCCCACAGAUAUGACCUCAAGAUUUUGGGCUGCUCAGACUAUAGGGGAGUGGCUCGUGUGACUAAUUAUGCUACUGGCUCUCCAUCUCUACCUGUCCUCCUCUCAGAAGCCUUGUCUGCUGGACUCUGGUGGACUCACACAGGUUAUCAACAAGGAUACUAUGGAAGUUGGGUGCUGUCUUAGACGAUAUGAGUGCUCAGCCUGAAAGAUCGAGUCCAGCUUAUAUGAACAGACCUAUUGCACCACAUGUUUGCAUGCCAUAUGUCCUAUUAGUAGGAAAUAUUAGCAUUAUUGUAUAUUCUGAAAAUAAUACUUUAGGUGUGGCUGGUGUCGACUGUAGUUUGACUUGUGUCUUUAAAACCCAUUCUAAGCAUUCUGCAAUGAUUUCAUUUAAUCUGCUUUUGUGAUGGCUCCUGCAAAUAUUACUGAAGAUUGGUUCGACAACAAGGGUUUAUUAGCAAUUGAAGAGUUGACAAGGACAUUGGUCAAGCAUAAUUGUUUUAAUUAUCGCAGGUGUUAUAGCUUUGAUUACUUUAAUCUCUAGUGCUACUACAGCUGCCAUUGCCCUAUCACAAUGUGUUCAAACAGUUCAUUCUGUGUAUGUUUUAUCCAGAAAUGUUUCCAUGGCAUUGCAUACUCAGGAGGAUAUAAAUGAUAAUAAAAUGCAACAGAAAUUAG